GGCCAGACGGAGCGGGUCAACCAGUGUCUAGAGAUGUACCUACGAUGCGCCGUCCACGACACCCCGCGGCAAUGGCGCAAGUGGCUGCCGGCAGCAGAGUUCUGGUAUAACUCCACGCAUCACACGUCUCUCAAGUGCUCGCCGUUCAGGGCGCUCUACGGCAUCGACCCUAACCUGGGUGGCUUACCGCACUUCAGCGACAACUCGACCCCGAGCGCACCUGCGGAGGAUCUGGACUGGGCGGCCCACACGGAACACCUCCGUGCUCAGCUUGCUCACGCUCAGUCGCGUUUCAAGAAGCAGGCUGAUCGUCACCGUGCCGAGCGCGCGUUCGACGUCGGCGAGCAAGUGCUGCUCAAGCUACAACCGUACGCACAGUCG
rnacentral:rRNA from 1 species